CCCUUUCUUUUCACUAUCAGGCAAGAUGGCAUUGAAGCCCCCAAUAGCGAGCCAAGGAGCAGCCCCCAAAGGAACAGUAGCAUUUAACCCUUCCUAGAAUAGUUUUUGUUUUUUGUUUUUUUUUUCUAUCAGGACUGCCAUAAACAAAAGCAAUAAAGACAGAGAAUGACCAAGGAUCCGAACCAGAAUAAAUUGUGAAUGGCUGUAAAUUACCUCAGGUCUAACGGAGUCCUUCCAACCUACUCAAAUUUCCCCUGAAAAACCAACUACUUCCACUCGGUGAGAAAAAUGAAAAUCCAAUUUGAUAAUGAUGUUAUCAACUUUUGUACGACUAACUCUAGUAUUUAAUAGACUGACAAUAUCUAAUUUAUGCUCCAAAUUAUAUUCACAAAAAAUACACUAAAAAUUGAUACCAGCACAAUCUUGAUAAUUCCAUGAAAAAAUUGACAAAUCCGUAUUCAAAAUACAGUAACAAAAAACAAGAAACAGGAGAAAAACCAAACCUUAGUGAACAAAAGGAGAUGAGUUUUACGACCCUUUCCCAUUCCCUAUCAGAACAAAAGGCGAAUUGACAUGUCUGGCUUUUCGAAGUACAUGUGAAAAAAUAGCAGUGGAGAGAUUGGUCAAGUGUCAAUCUUGAUGGAACAUCCACCCACUGGUC
rnacentral:lncRNA from 1 species